UCCUUAGGUAAGUCAGAGUUGGUGCCUGUGGCUUACAACUAAGGACUUUGACACACAUGUUGGGCAAAGUCCCAGAAGCAGAAAAUGCUGGAAUAAGACAUAUUUGGAUCUUUAAACAGACCAGGCGCAAAGACUUUAGCUAGGUGCUCCUCCACCAUCCUGAUCUCCUGUCCUGGAGGCUGGGCUGUCCAGAGAGAUGCAAAAGCCAGACGCUCCAGAUCUUCAGCAGACCCGACCUGGACCAGCAUCUGCUUCUGGAGCUUUCUCUACGUGGGUGGACAUUGCCAGUUUGGCCCAUCAGCAACCACUUGUGAUCUCGCCACAUCUGAUGGAGCACAAGGCCCCGAGUCUACACAUUCAGUGGGUCCCGUGUUCAGUGUUUCUCUCAUGCACAGACGAAACUGAGGACUUAAGUCGGGACACAGUAUGGCAGAUAACUCAGAGAUUGCUCCGAAGAGGCAAGGGGCGGAGCCAGGAUAUCCAGGAGUUUUUGCAACAAAGACCAGGUAGUCGGAACAUC